UACGAAGGGGGCUAGCGUUGUUCGGAAUUACUGGGCGUAAAGCGCGCGCAGGCGGUUCUCCAAGUCAGUGGUGAAAGCCCGGAGCUCAACUCCGGAACUGCCAUUGAAACUGUUGAACUUGAGGACGAGAGAGGUGAGUGGAAUUCCCAGUGUAGAGGUGAAAUUCGUAGAUAUUGGGAAGAACACCAGUGGCGAAGGCGGCUCACAGGCUCGUAUCUGACGCUCAGGCGCGAUAGCGUGGGGAUCAAACAGG
rnacentral:rRNA from 1 species